rnacentral:rRNA from 1 species
UGGCGACCGGCGCACGGGUGAGUAACACGUAUCCAACCUGCCGAUGACUCGGGGAUAGCCUUUCGAAAGAAAGAUUAAUACCCGAUGGCAUAGUUCUUCCGCAUGGUGGAACUAUUAAAGAAUUUCGGUCAUCGAUGGGGAUGCGUUCCAUUAGGUUGUUGCGGGGUAACGGCCCACCAAGCCUUCGAUGGAUAGGGGUUCUGAGAGGAAGGUCCCCCACAUUGGAACUGAGACACGGUCCAAACUCCUACGGGAGGCAGCAUG